rnacentral:rRNA from 2 species
AAAACUUUCAACAACGGAUCUCUUGGUUCCAGCAUCGAUGAAGAACGCAGCGAAAUGCGAAAAGUAAUGUGAAUUGCAGAAUUCCGUGAAUCAUCGAAUCUUUGAACGCACAUUGCGCCCCUUGGUAUUCCGAGGGGCAUGCCUGUUCGAGCGUCAUUG